rnacentral:rRNA from 1 species
AAUAUUGCACAAUGGGCGAAAGCCUGCUGCAGCGACGCCGCGUGGGGGAUGAAGGCCCUCGGGUUGUAAACCCCUUUCAGCAGGGACGAAGCGAGAGUGUCGGUACCGGCCGAAGAAGCGCCGGCUAACUACGUGCCAGCGGCCGCGGUAAUACGUAGGGCGCAAGCGUUGUCCGGAAUUAUUGGGCGUAAAGAGCUCGUAGGCGGUAAGUCGCGUCUGGUGUGAAAACCCGAGGCUCAACCUCGGGCCUGCAGUGGGUACGGGCUGACUAGGGUGCGGUAGGGGAGGCUGGAAUUCCUAGUGUAGCGGUGGAAUGCGCAGAUAUCAGGAGGGACAACGAUGGCGAAGGCAGGUCUCUGGGCCGCAGCUGACGCUGAGGAGCGAAAGCAUGGGGAGCGAACA